rnacentral:tRNA from 1 species
GCGCCCAUAGCUCAGCUGGAUAGAGUCGCAGACUUCGAAUCUGUUGGCCGGGGGUUCAAAUCCCUCUGGGCGCACCA